rnacentral:rRNA from 1 species
UACGAAGGUCCCAAGCGUUAUCCGGAUUUAUUGGGUUUAAAGGGUGCGUAGGCGGGCUAUUAAGUCAGUGGUGAAAUCUCCGAGCCUAACUCGGAAAUUGCCAUUGAUACUGAUGGCCUUGAGUACGUUUGAAGUGGGCGGAAUGUGUCAUGUAGCGGUGAAAUGCUUAGAUAUGACACAGAACACCGAUUGCGUAGGCAGCUCACUAAACUGUAACUGACGCUGAGGCACGAAAGCGUGGGGAGCAAACAGG